rnacentral:rRNA from 1 species
GUUGAACGCUGGCGGCAUGCUUUACACAUGCAAGUCGAACGGUAACAGGCCGCAAGGUGCUGACGAGUGGCGAACGGGUGAGUAAUGCAUCGGAACGUGCCCAGUCGUGGGGGAUAACGCAGCGAAAGCUGUGCUAAUACCGCAUACGAUCUAUGGAUGAAAGCGGGGGACCGUAAGGCCUCGCGCGAUUGGAGCGGCCGAUGUCAGAUUAGGUAGUUGGUGGGGUAAAGGCCUACCAAGCCGACGAUCUGUAGCUGGUCUGAGAGGACGACCAGCCACACUGGGACUGAGACACGGCCCAGACUCCUACGGGAGGCAGCAGUGGGGAAUUCUGGACAAUGGGCGCAAGCCUGAUCCAGCAAUGCCGCGUGCAGGAAGAAGGCCUUCGGGUUGUAAACUGCUUUUGUACGGAACGAAACGGCCUGGGUUAAUACCCUGGGCUAAUGACGGUACCGUAAGAAUAAGCACCGGCUAACUACGUGCCAGCAGCCGCAGUAACAC